AAAGACAGGUCUUCAGCCUCCGUUCCAAGUCAUUUAAAUACAGAGCAGACGGUUAUGCGGGGUCAUGAGGCCCUCGCACCCCAAUCCUGCUUGGAAGGCAGCCGGGCACUUCCGGGGUGCCCUCCAGGGUCACCUCAGGCCCGGGGAGCUGGUGUAAUGCCUCUCGAAGACACAACAGGAUGUGACUCAGGACUCAGACACGUGUGAGAUUGGACUUGAUUCGGGGCCAACACCUCCAGUCCCGGAGCCAGCUCCGUGAGCUGAAAACAUGCACCAACCCUCCAGUAAUACCACUGCAGCCAGCCAGAGUCUCAACAAUUUAAGGCUUAACACACACAACAUAAAUCCAAGGAGGAUGGACGAGCCGACCGGCAGCUU